rnacentral:ncRNA from 1 species
CUUGGUCAUUUAGAGGAAGUAAAAGUCGUAACAAGGUUUCCGCUCAUAAGUCUUGCGCCUGGAACGAAUGAUUCCUUCCGCAGUGUACACUUAUCGAAGCCUUUGCAGCCACGCAAGUGGUAGACCGACACGACUCUAAACAAGACCGGUCGCGAUGCAAGUCGGCAACCCGCCGGCGACACUUUCGAAUUGACGGGGACACCCUAAAGCCGAUCGCACCAACCCGCGGCGGGAAACCGCCCGGGGGCCCGUGGUAACGACACGGGGGAUGGUAACAGACGAUCCGGAUACUUCUGCGGCGCCGCCGUAGAGACCAUGGGCAAUCCGCAGCGAAGCCUCUAAGUCCCCCCGCUGGGAUAUGAGGAACGUCCACAGACUAAGUGGAAGUGGGUGGGGGAUUCCGUCCCCCGCUUAAGAUAUAGUCGGGCCCCCCGGGAGACCGGGGGGGGCGAGUACACUGCAACUCUGAAACAAAAACCGUUCCGUAGGUGAACCUGCGGAAGGAUCAUUA